UACCUGGUGGUACUGGUGCGCAAGUUCCAUUCUUCUCAAUAAAGUAUUUUUCACAUGUACAAUUACGUCCUCCUGUUGCUGCGACUGGUGUGCACUUUCUAUUGCCUCCACAUGGGUUUGUUAGACAUGGGUCUUUAUCAAAAUAUAAUGUUAGUAAAUCAUUAGCAUAUGCAUUUUCCGUUUGGUUCAUGACUGAUCGUGUAUAU